rnacentral:rRNA from 1 species
UACGAAGGGGCUAGCGUUGUUCGGAAUCACUGGGCGUAAAGCGCACGUAGGCGGAUCUUUAAGUCAGGGGUGAAAUCCCGAGGCUCAACCUCGGAACUGCCUUUGAUACUGGGGAUCUCGAGUUCGGGAGAGGUGAGUGGAACUGCGAGUGUAGAGGUGAAAAUUCGUAGAUAUUCGCAAGAACACCAGUGGCGAAGGCGGCUCACUGGCCCGAUACUGACGCUGAGGUGCGAAAGCGUGGGGAGCAAACAGGG